CAGUCGCCGCGGUAAUACGUAGGUGGCAAGCGUUGUCCGGAAUUAUUGGGCGUAAAGGGCUCGCAGGCGGUUUCCUAAGUCUGAUGUGAAAGCCCCCGGCUCAACCGGGGAGGGUCAUUGGAAACUGGGAAACUUGAGUGCAGAAGAGGAGAGUGGAAUUCCACGUGUAGCGGUGGAAUGCGUAGAGAUGUGGAGGAACACCAGUGGCGAAGGCGACUCUCUGGUCUGUAACUGACGCUGAGGAGCGAAAGCGUGGGGAGCGAACAGGAUUAGAUACCCCUGUAGUCCCUGUCUCUUAUAC
rnacentral:rRNA from 1 species